CUUUGCUCCGGGAUGCCGUGAAGGACCGGGGUAAGGCACAUUUGGGGAAUCGAGCCUAGGGCCCCUUAAAUUGAAGCCAACCCCAGGUUUUUCCAGGCGGAGGCAAAUCAUCCCAACUGGGCCAGGUCGCUAUGAGGAUUACAUAUGAGAAUGAGUGUAGAAUGCCCAGCAUAGUUCCUGGCACAAGACAAGCACCCCGUAAGUGCAGCUAUGAAGAAAAACGACCAGACCCCUACUGUGGACAACUCUGGUAGGCUGAGGCUCUACCCUCUUUCUGGCAGCUGGAGAAGGACAUUCAUCCUCCCUCCCACUUCUUCACAGCCCAGGGGUAGGCAGUUGGCCUAAGCCAACCAACUGGAAUGCUACCAACUGGACUUUGAAUCUUGAAAGAGUGAAAACAAGACCCAGGGAGAAUUCAUGAGGAGUGGAUGGCUGUGCUAGCAGGGAAAUCCUCAUCAGCAGGUUCCUGUGGUGAGACUUUGGUGUGGCCUCAGCAUAACCUCAGCCAUAUGCCCCUAAUGCUUGGCCUCUCAAGGGUUCCCACCCCUUAUCCAGGGAGAAUACAAGAUGAACCCGAAACAUUUUGUAGUGUUGGGAAAUAAAAAGGUGCUAAAGGAAUGAUGGAGAUGUGUCAGAAGGACACAGAAGUCAUCUUAAAGAAAUGCCCACUGACCAAAUCUGGGACAAAUUUAAGCAUCAAAAUAAAUAAUAGAUUACAACUCAUUGAAUGAAACAGGAAUCUAUACCGACACAAAUAAAUACAUAUGAAACUGAAUGUAAGGAGAAAAGAAAGCUCCACUUCACCAUAGAAUGCCAACUAACACAUGUAGAUGGAAUAACGGGAGUAGAAUACCACUUGGCAAUUAUUAUUUUAUUUAUUUAUUUAUUUUUUGCGGUACA